rnacentral:rRNA from 1 species
GAGACCCACGCCCACAGUUGCCAGCGUACUCUCCGGAGUGACGGGUACACUGUGGGGACCGCCKCUGCUAAAGCGGAGGAAGGAAUGGGCAACGGUAGGUCAGUAUGCCCCGAAUAUCCCGGGCUACACGCGAGCUACAAUGGUUGGUACAAUGGGUAUCUACCCCGAAAGGGGAWGGAAAUCUCCUAAASCCAWUCUUAGUAYCGGAUUGAGGGCUGCMACUCGCCCUCAUGAAGCUGGAAUCCGUAGUAAUCGCGUUUCAAMAKAACGCGGUGAAUAC